AACGUAGGGGGCAAGCGUUGUUCGGAUUUACUGGGCGUAAAGGGCGCGUAGGCGGUCAGCACAAGUCGCGUGUGAAAGCCCCCGGCUCAACUGGGGAGGGUCACGCGAUACUGGUCGACUCGAAGGCAGGAGAGGGUAGUGGAAUUCCCGGUGUAGUGGUGAAAUGCGUAGAUAUCGGGAGGAACACCAGUGGCGAAGGCGACUACCUGGCCUGCUCUUGACGCUGAGGCGCGAAAGCUAGGGGAGCAAACGGG
rnacentral:rRNA from 1 species